rnacentral:rRNA from 1 species
CCGUGAGGCCGGGCAAAUCCCAAAAAAGGCGUCCCAGUUCGGACUGCAGUCUGCAACCCGACUGCACGAAGCCGGAAUCGCUAGUAAUCGCGGAUCAGAAUGCCGCGGUGAAUACGUUCCCGGGUCUUGUACACACCGCCCGUCACACCAUGGGAGCUGGAAAUGCCCGAAGUCGGUGACCCAACCUUCGGGAGGGAGCCGCCGAAGGCAGGUCCGGUAACUGGGGUGAAGUCGUAACAAGGUAUC